rnacentral:rRNA from 1 species
AUUUAGCGGCAAACGGGUGAGGAAUACGUGGUACUUACCCCCAAGUCAGGGAUAGCCCACCGAAAGGUGGAUUAAUACCGGAUGUGGCCUACGGGUCAAAGCAGUAAUGCGCUUGGGGAGAGGCCUGCGUCCUAUCAGCUAGUUGGUGAGGUAAAAGCUCACCAAGGCAAUGACGGGUAAUUGGUCUGAGAGGACGGCCAGUCACAAUGGAACUGAGACACGGUCCAUACUCCUACGGGAGGCAGCAGUGAGGAAUCUUCCGCAAUGGGCGAAAGCCUGACGGAGCGACGCCGCGUGAAGGAUGAAGGGUUUAUUCUUGUAAACUUCUUUUUUGAGGGAAGAUAAUGACGGUACCUCAAGAAUAAGGGACGGCAAACUACGUGCCAGCAGCCGCGGUAAUACGUAGGUCCCAAGCGUUAUCCGGAAUUACUGGGUGUAAAACGUCUGUAGGUGGAUUGUUAAGUCUUGUAUGAAAGACCGGAGCUCAACUCCGUGUUUGUACGGGAAACUGGCUAUCUAGAAUCAGGGAGAGGCAAGCAGAAUUAUGUGAGUAGGGGUGCAAUCCGUAGAUACACAUAAGAAUACCAAAAGCGAAGGCAGCUUGCUGGAACUGUAUUGACACUGAGAGACGAAAGCGUGGGGAGCGAAAAGGAUUAGAUACCCUUGUAGUCCACGCCCUAAACGAUGGUAGCUAAGUGUCGGGCCUUGUGCUCGGUGCUGAAGCAAACGCAUUAAGCUACCCACCUGAGAAGUACGGCCGCAAGGUUAAAACUCAAAUGAAUAGACGACGACCCACACAAGCAGUGGAUCAUGUGGUUUAAUUCGACAAUAAACGAGGAACCUUACCCAGACUUGACAUCCUAGGAAUCCUGCCGAAAGGUAGGAGUGCCCGCAAGGGAGCCUAGAGACAGGUGCUGCAUGGUUGUCGUCAGCUCGUGCCUUGAGGUGUUCGGUUAAGUCCGUCAACGAGCGCAACCCACGUCGUUAGUUACUAUGUCUAACGAGACUGCCCGAGUUAAUCGGGAGGAAGGUGUGGAUGACGUCAAAUCAGCAUGGCCCUUAUGUCUGGGGCCACACACAUGAUACAAUGGUCGGUACAAUGAGUAGCGAUGGAGCGAUCCGGAGCCAAUCUCAUCAAAGCCGAUCUCAGUCCAGAUCGGGGUCUGCAACUCGACCCCGUGAAGUUGGAAUUGCUAGUAAUCGUGAAUCAGCCAUGUCACGGUGAAUAUGUUCCUGGGUCUUGUACUCACCGCCCGUCACAGCAUGGGGGGUGUUUCUAUCGGAAGCUCCUGCAGUAAUAGCGGGAACCAUGGUAAAAACACUGACUGGGCUGAAGUCGUAACAAGGUA